AUACGUAGGGGGCAAGCGUUAUCCGGAUUUACUGGGUGUAAAGGGAGCGUAGACGGAAUGGCAAGUCUGAUGUGAAAGGCCGGGGCUCAACCCCGGGACUGCAUUGGAAACUGUCAGGCUAGAGUGCAGGAGGGGUAAGCGGAAUUCCUAGUGUAGCGGUGAAAUGCGGAGAUAUUAGGAGGAACACCGGUGGGGACGGCGGCUUACGAGGCUGUAACUGACGUUGAGUAUUCAAAGCGUGAGGACAAAACAGAUUUAGAUCCCUUGGUUGUCCACGCCGUAAACGAUGAAUACUAGGUGUUGGGUUCCAAUAGGGAUUCGGUGCCGCAGCUAACGCAAUAAGUAUUCCACCUGGGGAGUACGUUCGCACGAAGGAAACUCACAUGAAUUGGCGGGG
rnacentral:rRNA from 1 species